UCCACGCCGUAAACGAUGGAUACUAGCUGUUGGAGGUAUCGACCCCUUCAGUAGCGAAGCUAACGCGUUAAGUAUCCCGCCUGUGGAGUACGGUCGCAAGACUAAAACAUAAAGGAAUUGACGGGGAGCCGCACAAGCGGUGGAUUAUGUUCUUUAAUUCGAUGAUAACCGAUGAACCUUACCAGGGUUUGACAUCCUUGGAAUUUUGCCGAAAGGCGAGAGUGCUUUAUUGAACCAAGUGACAGAUGAUGCAUGGCCGUCGUCAGCUCGUGUCGUGAGAUGUUUGGUUAAGUCCAUUAACGAGCGCAACCCUUGUGAUUAGUUGUAUUUUUCUAAUCAGACUGCCCUGGCAACGGGGAGGAAGGAGGGGAUGAGGUCAGGUCAGUAUUUCUCUUACACCCUGGGCUAGAAACAUAAUACAA
rnacentral:rRNA from 1 species